AACAUCGCCGUAUCUGAAAAAUACCAUUAAACCCCCUAAGCUGUCUUUGCUAAUGGAUGGGUGCCAGAUAACUAUAUUGUUAGAAAUUGAUCUAAGCUGUUAGGAAUCGGUAACUAUUUUUUGUUGAUUACUGAAGAAUCAUUCUACACAUUCUGUUGCAGCGAUGUGUAGCUGACCACCUGCAGAUGAAUACAAGUGAUGAUGCAUGAUUAUCAAUGCUGGUGUUCCUACUCGCUGCUCCGAUGAAAUGAAGCUGUCAUUCAGAUUGGUGAGUAAAAACGUCAUUAGAACUUUCUGCUUGACUGCUGGUUCGCCCUGUUCACCGGUUUAGCAAAACCGAAUACCAGCCCGUGCCCAACCCAGAUGGACCCGUCCACCCGGUUUCUAGCGUGGGUUGGAGCCGGACCAGUGUGACCAUACGAUGGAAGCGGCAGACUGGUUUGGUUUCCGGUCGGACCCAUCAAAACCACAACACAACAAUAUAUCCAAAGGAAAAACAAGGCGGCUGCGCUUCGGCGGCCAACUGCGGGGGCGGACGGCGGCUGCGGCGGACCGCGGCGGCUGCGGCGGACCGCGGCGGCUGCUGCGCGUCUGCGCCGGACGGCGGCGACGCCCGGCGGCCGGGACGAAAAUGCCGCGCAACGGUCUCGCUCGAGGCCUCGAGGUGGAGGCUGCGCUCGCGGUCGAGGCAGCGUGGGAAUUGAAGGUGGCUGUUGCAUCUAUGGUUCUGUCUCCUUAGACAUGGAUGUGGACUCGCCACCGCAUCUUCCCAUAGAGACCUCUGCUAACAAGGUCCAUUACUCUUUUCAUAUAUGUUCCUUGUGUCAUGGAUUGUUUUCAGCUAUGAACCCUAGCUCAGAUUGAGAUUAGAUUUAGUUUGCAAAGAAAGAAAUGGGUGCAAGAUUCAAUCCAUUCUUUAUUUGUGAUGAUGAAAUCCCACAUCAGUCCAUUUGUUGUUGUAUCCAACAAUUUCUCAGCUACGAGUCCUGAAAUGCAUGCUAAAAUGGACUUGCGUCCUUACUGAACAUAUUGUAUGUGUUGUCUGAAAAAGACAGGUCAGUAUCCAAUUGUUCAGAUUGCAACGAAGUCUUGACAGCAAAUAAGAUAUAUGUGUGUUAUCAGAUUCACUUGUCAAGUAGUCGGGUAUUGUACUGACAAUACUUGCAGCUGGCAAUAAUGCUGGUAAUAGUUAUUUCAAGUUAUACUGGAUAGCAGCUUGGUAGCUUUGUUUGCCGUCAAUUAUGUUUAAAACAAACUUAUGUAACUUGCCUUUUUUUGUUUCAAAUUUCACUGAGUUUGAAGGAUAGCAAUUUCUAACAAGGAAAAAUUGCUGCAAUUUGUGUUUUGUUACAAUGAGUAGCUUGUGUUCUAUCUUGGUGCUUAAUCGACGUGGUUUAUUCAUGAUCUUGUCUGCUCAGUUUUGUUCCGGAUGUCAAUUUGGCAAGGCUAGUGCAAUUAAGAUAGGUCUACAGAUCAGAGUUUGUGCAUGAGUGUUGCAGGUCUCAACAUGGAGACUGAAAAAUUAAUAAGUAAAAGUUCACAUGACCGCGUUGGCUCCAGAACAAUGAAUUCUUCCUCCCUCAUGAAUGAAUCUUGCUUUUGUGCUUGUGAUGGCAGAUUCAUGGAUGGGAAUAGAUCACCUGUAGGUUGCUUGAUGCAAGCCAGUUUGUUUGGCUUCACAUUUCCUUCGGUUGAUCUCUAUAUCUUGGGCUAGUAGCUGCUAUUGGACUAGCACUCUGAUCACAAUGCAGCUCCUUGUUGUAAUGUAUGGUUUCCAGGUAUAGUCAGGUGUUUGUCUUUUGAAUCCUGUGGCUGUGCACAGUUACAUGCCCGGCACGUGUUGCUACUUGAAAUGCUACUAUGUAUUCCAUUUGGGCAGGAAAUGUUUCACUUUCUGAAACUUAUGUAA